GACGAACGCUGGCGGCGUGCUUAACACAUGCAAGUCGAACGGAAAGGCCCUGCUUUUGUGGGGUGCUCGAGUGGCGAACGGGUGAGUAACACGUGAGUAACCUGCCCUUGACUUUGGGAUAACUUCAGGAAACUGGGGCUAAUACCGGAUAGGAGCUCCUGCUGCAUGGUGGGGGUUGGAAAGUUUCGGCGGUUGGGGAUGGACUCGCGGCUUAUCAGCUUGUUGGUGGGGUAGUGGCUUACCAAGGCUUUGACGGGUAGCCGGCCUGAGAGGGUGACCGGCCACAUUGGGACUGAGAUACGGCCCAGACUCCUACGGGAGGCAGCGGUGGGGAAUAGUGCACAAUGGGCGGAAGCCUGAUGCAGCGACGCCGCGUGCGGGAUGACGGCCUUCGGGUUGUAAACCGCUUUCGCCUGUGACGAAGCGUGAGUGACGGUAAUGGGUAAAGAAGCACCGGCUAACUACGUG
rnacentral:rRNA from 1 species